rnacentral:rRNA from 1 species
UGCAAGUCGAGCGGAGCUCAAAUGCGGAUCCCCUUCGGGGGUGAAACAUCUGAGCUUAGCGGCGGACGGGUGCGUAACGCGUGGGUAAUCUGCCCUUGUCACCGGGAUAACACAUCGAAAGGUGUGCUAAUACCGGAUGAAAUACAGACCUGGCAUCGGGACUGUAUCAAAGUCAUGCGGACAAGGAUGAGCCUGCGUCUGAUUAGCUUGUUGGUGGGAUAAAAGCCUACCAAGGCGACGAUCAGUAGCCGACCUGAGAGGGUGAUCGGCCACACUGGAACUGAGACACGGUCCAGACUCCUACGGGAGGCAGCAGUGGGGAAUAUUGCACAAUGGGCGCAAGCCUGAUGCAGCAACGCCGCGUGAGUGAUGAAGGCCUUCGGGUCGUAAAACUCUGUCCUAAGGGAAGAUAAUGACGGUACCUUAGGAGGAAGCCCCGGCUAACUACGUGCCAGCAGCCGCGGUAAUACGUAGGGGGCAAGCGUUAUCCGGAAUUACUGGGCGUAAAGGGUGCGUAGGUGGCCUGACAAGUCAGGGGUCAAAGGCAACGGCUCAACCGUUGUAAGCCCUUGAAACUGUCGGGCUUGAGUUCAGGAGAGGAAAGCGGAAUUCCUAGUGUAGCGGUGAAAUGCGUAGAUAUUAGGAGGAACACCAGUGGCGAAGGCGGCUUUCUGGACUGAUACUGACACUGAGGCACGAA